rnacentral:tRNA from 1 species
GGUCUUAUAGUUUAAUAAAAACUUUAAAUUGCAAAUUUAAAAAUGUUCAUAUCCACUAAGACUU